AUACGGGGGGUGCAAGCGUUAUUCGGAUUUAUUGGGCGUAAAGGGCGCGUAGGCGGCUUGGUAAGUCAGAUGUGAAAGCCCGGGGCUCAACCCCGGAAGUGCAUUUGAAACUAUCAGGCUUGAGUAUGGGAGAGGGAAGUGGAAUUCCUGGUGUAGAGGUGAAAUUCGUAGAUAUCAGGAGGAACACCGGUGGCGAAGGCGACUUCCUGGACCAAUACUGACGCUGAGGCGCGAAGGCGUGGGGAGCAAACAGGAUUAGAUACCCCAGUAGUCC
rnacentral:rRNA from 1 species